GCCGGCGUAGCUCAGCUGGUUAGAGCGACGGACUCAUAAGCCGUAGGUCGGAGGUUCGAGUCCUCCCGCCGGCACCA
rnacentral:tRNA from 1 species